rnacentral:tRNA from 1 species
GGGAAGGUGGCUCAGUGAUAGAGCACUUGCCUUGCAAGCAUGAGGCCCUGGGUUCGAUUCCUCAGCUCCA